GCCAUAUUGGUACAAGUCGGUUAGGACGAUACAGGUUACUGUAGAGGCCGGGGUUCGAAUCCUCGGCAUGGCA